rnacentral:tRNA from 1 species
GGAGUCGUAGCUCAGUCGGAAGAGCAGGGGACUUUUAAUCCCAAGGUCGUGGGUUCGAUUCUCACCGACUCCA